AGAGUUUGAUCAUGGCUCAGGACGAACGCUGGCGGCGCGCCUAACACAUGCAAGUCGAACGAGCGAGAGAGAGCUUGCUUUCUCGAGCGAGUGGCGAACGGGUGAGUAACGCGUGAGGAACCUGCCUCAAAGAGGGGGACAACAGUUGGAAACGACUGCUAAUACCGCAUAAGCCCACAGGUCGGCAUCGACCAGAGGGAAAAGGAGCAAUCCGCUUUGAGAUGGCCUCGCGUCCGAUUAGCUAGUUGGUGAGGUAAUGGCCCACCAAGGCGACGAUCGGUAGCCGGACUGAGAGGUUGAACGGCCACAUUGGGACUGAGACACGGCCCAG
rnacentral:rRNA from 1 species